UACAUGGGGUGCAAACGUUGCUCGGAAUUAUUGGGCGUAAAGCGCACGUAGGCGGUUCGUUAAGUCGGAUGUGAAAGCCCUCGGCUCAACUGAGGAAGUGCACCCGAAACUGGCGAGCUUGAGUACGAAAGAGGAUCGCGGAAUUCCCGGUGUAGAGGUGAAAUUCGUAGAUAUCAGGAGGAACACCGGUGGCGAAGGCGGGUCUCUGGGGCAGUAACUGACGCUGAGGAGCGAAAGCGUGGGGAGCGAACAGG
rnacentral:rRNA from 1 species